rnacentral:rRNA from 1 species
AGAGUUUGAUCCUGGCUCAGGAUGAACGCUAGCGACAGGCUUAACACAUGCAAGUCGAGGGGCAGCGGGGUAGGAAGCUUGCUUUCUGCCGCCGGCGACCGGCGCACGGGUGAGUAACACGUAUGCAACCUGGCCGUGACUGAUGGAUAACCGGGAGAAAUCCCGCCUAAUACAACAUAAUGCCGGGAGGGGACAUCCCCUGCCGGCCAAAGGGGGCGACCCCGGUCACGGAUGGGCAUGCGGCGCAUUAGGUAGUUGGUGGGGCAACGGCCCACCAAGCCGACGAUGCGUAGGGGUUCUGAGAGGAAGGUCCCCCACAUUGGAACUGAGACACGGUCCAAACUCCUACGGGAGGCAGCAGUGAGGAAUAUUGGUCAAUGGCCGGAAGGCUGAACCAGCCAAGUCGCGUGAGGGAAUAAGGCCCUACGGGUCGUAAACCUCUUUUGCCAGGGAGCAAUGCCGUCCACGUGUGGACGGAAGGAGAGUACCUGGAGAAAAAGCAUCGGCUAACUCCGUGCCAGCAGCCGCGGUAAUACGGAGGAUGCGAGCGUUAUCCGGAUUUAUUGGGUUUAAAGGGUGCGUAGGCGGCCUGCCAAGUCAGCGGUAAAAUUGCGGGGCUCAACCCCGUACAGCCGUUGAAACUGCCGGGCUCGAGUGGGCGAGAAGUAUGCGGAAUGCGUGGUGUAGCGGUGAAAUGCAUAGAUAUCACGCAGAACCCCGAUUGCGAAGGCAGCAUACCGGCGCCCGACUGACGCUGAGGCACGAAAGUGCGGGGAUCAAACAGGAUUAGAUACCCUGGUAGUCCGCACAGUAAACGAUGAAUGCUACCUGUCCGGGGGGGAUUGACCCCUGGGUGGCACAGCGAAAGCGGUAAACCUUUCCCCUGGGGGGGUAGGCGGCCACGGUGGAAAUUAAAGGAAAUGGCGGGGGGCCGCCCCAAGGGAGGGACAAGUGGGUUAAUUUGAUGAAUAGGGGAGGACCUUUCCCGGGGUUCAACCCCGAAGGGACCUUUCCCGAAAGGGGGAUGGCCCACCAAGGUUUUUAAGGAGGGGGUGCCAGGGUGUUGUUAAGUUGGUCCGUGGGGGGUUGGGUUAAAGUCCCAAACGAGGGCCACCCCCCCCGACCGGUGGUUAAUGGUCCAACCGGGGGAUUUGUUGGGGCCGCCGGGGCCAAGUGGGGGGGAGGGGGGGAAGAAGUUCAAUUAGCCCGGCCCCUACGCUCGGGGGGGCCCCAGGGGUUCCAAGGCCGGGACAGAGAGAAGGGCCAGGGGGGCGCCGAGGGGGAACCUCAAAACCUGUCUCAGUUCGGAUCGGAGUCUGCAACCCGACUCCGUGAAGCUGGAUUCGCUAGUAAUCGCGCAUCAGCCACGGCGCGGUGAAUACGUUCCCGGGCCUUGCACACACCGCCCGUCAAG